CUGUUCCGUCUGGUGGAGGCAAGUUUUAAUGUGAAAUGCAAUAAAAUGUGUGCAACUUAUAAUUCAAGCUUGUUUACAAAAGGAAAGGAAAUAUAAUAAAAUCAUCUAGGCCAAAAUACGAAAGCUGGUGUUUGCUGAUCGCGGCUAGAAUGGCGGAAAUAUAAACGUAUAUGCAUCACUGACUACAGCUCCAAUCCUUAACCACUUUGAGGAAUUUAUCUUGAAUAUGAAACAAAAUGAAGAGAAAAGUCAGCUGACGAUGUCUGAAUGAUGUUUCCAUCAACCAACAAUUCCUGGUGCCAUUGGAAUCUCUGUAAAAACGUUUAAGACAGUGUAAUUGUUUAACAAAUUAAUACAUAAAUGCUGAUCUACAACAGUUACUUAUUAGUAUUAAAUCAUGUAUGACAUUAUUUUAUUACACCAAGUAUUUUCAAAUCAGAAAUAACAUAUUAUUUAUAGUGCUUCAAAAAUGUUGUUCCACUUUGAAGUUUGUGAUUUUAAGAAUGAGAAAGUCAAACAGAUUUAAGUUACCUUGGUGCAGAUGAUGGUGGGAUUAAAAUAAACUGCCAACCUAUGUAUAUAACAUUAUAAAUCUCUACUUUUUUUAGUUCAGACAUGUUUUGCAGGUGAGAGUCAUGUCUAUUGCAUAAUACCUCAACACAAAUCUUGUUUUAAUGUCUCAUAUGUUGUUUAAAAUAUUUCUCGUA